AUGAGCCAUGGACGCCUCCUGGUUCCUCCUGGUUGUGUCUGCCGCCCUUUUGGUGUCCAUGGUCCUGCUGGUCAUCAUGUGUCUGGACUGCAGGAGAAAAGGUCCCCUGGGUGAGAUGCUUCAGUACAGACACUUAAAAUGUAGUUUUAGAAAACAAAUCAUGUCAUGUCCAGUAUUUUCUGUUACUUUCACUGAUUCCUCUUUGCACACAUGGUUAAUAGCUGCUUGACUUCACGCCCUGUGGUUGAGAGGAAAACUCUUUAACUGAACUCAUGGCAACAUUUUCACUUUUUGCGAUGGUCAAUAUAGACUCUGUUAUAAGAUGUGAAAUGUUAAGAUAUAUUGUUUCUGUUUGAUUUCAGUCUCCAUCAGAGAAACAGAUCCCUCAGAUGAAUACAUAAAGUAAGUCGUCUAGCCUGAAGGCUUUGCUUAAAAAUGUUACAUAAAUUAAAAGUUUAUGAAAACUUUUUCUUCUCUCUCUCUUUCAGUCCCCCACCAAUAACUCAUCCAUUUGGCGUCCAGCUAACCACCGAUCUGAGAUCCAUCCGUUCUCCCUCCAGCUUGCUGUCCCCUUUGUCUUCAGCCGACGCUGGCUCUCACUGGCUACACAGAUCCGUCACCCCAACAGAGACAGAAAGUAAUCCAAGUUAUGAGAAUCCAGUUCAAGACGGACCUGUGGACAGCGAUGUAGAAGACCCUGGAUACAUAAUCGUGUUGCCUAAUGAAGACGUUUCUCCUUCGAACAAUCAGAGCCGAGCAUCAACCCCCAGUUUAGAUCAACACGAUUACGAGAACGUACCGGAGCAGAAGGUUCCAUGUCCAGACUCUGAAGAGGACAGAGACUAUCUGAAUGUGGUACCGCUGCACUUUCAAAAUUCAGCUCAGAGCUUCAAAACAUUACAGAAGGAUGAAGAAUCACUGUCUCAAAGCAACACAGAUGAUGAGGACGAUGAGAGUGAUGAUGACGGGGGGAACUACGUCAACGAACUACCAAUUUGUCACGCUCACUCCAGUGCAUGACCAGCACAGAUGAACCGAAACGUGUGAUUGGCUUCUAGCAGCCUGACCACAUUACAACCACCAUGGCAAAUUUCUUUGCCUCCACCACUUCUAACAAUCUUUGACAAUUACUAUUUCAGGUUUUUUUAAACGGAGAAAAGAGACCACUUAGUUCUCUGAACUGAAAAUCUGUGAGGUUUCAGUUUUAUCAAGCCUCUGAAAACAAGAAUCUGAUGCCAAUGUGUGUAGAUUUAUGGCCCAAACUGCUGAAUUUCCGCUCCCACAACAAUAAUUACACCUUCAGUUACAGUAUAUGUGUACAAAUGACUGGAAGUACAGCUUAAACCAAAACUGAAUACUAUCACCAUAUUGAUGUAAUGUGAUAUUUGAUGUCCUUUUAGCUAAACUACAGAUUUAUUUCUUACUGUUACUAAACCAGACUCAUCUUCAGCAAACUUCAAACCAUUCUGAAACGAUUAGAAGAAUAUAAAUCCUCUAGGUAUUAUUAAAACAUUUCACCCAUAGAUAUCUUCAUUUGCAUAUCGAUUUCCUUCUUCCUCUGACAUUACAAGAGGUUAAUGAGCUUUAGUCCAAUUUUACUGACAACUCCUGAGAAUGUCUGAAUUCACAGAAUAUUUUUUACAGUAUAUUUAUAUGUUGUUAUGUCUUUGUGAUGUGUAAUCAAAUUGUCUGAAUUAGAAAUGUUGAAGUAACUACAAUUAAAAUCUAAAACAACCUAGCAACCAUCUCAUUUUACUGACUGUACCAGUGUAUUUUACACUGUCUAUUUUAUUUAGUAUUUUAUUUUACUAAGUCACUUCAUUGGUUGUGAAAUGGUGCCCUUUGGUCACAUCCUCUGCCCAGAUGAGCACAUCAGACAGCAGAGAGGACAACUCCUGGCUCCAGGCCAUGUCCAGCAUGUACAUUUAACUGGCUGAUCUAUCAGAAGCUGCUAAACCACCCUCAGCUGAAAGUCACCCAUAAUGUUCCCAUCAAAGACACUUUUUUGUUGGGGUUUUAA
ensembl:lncRNA uncharacterized LOC114860760